GGAAAUCUCACCAGGCCCGGACACUGGAAGGAUUGACAGAUUGAUAGCUCUUCCUUGAUUCGGUGGGUGGUGGUGCAUGGCCGUUCUUAGUUGGUGGAGCGAUCUGUCUGGUUAAUUCCGAUAACGAACGAGACCCCAACCUGCUAACUAGCCCUCGGGUCCUGCUUCUGUUGGGCCCGACGGAAUGAUUCGCUUCUUAGAGGGACUCGCGGCGCCUAGCCGCACGAAGGGGGGCGAUAA
rnacentral:rRNA from 1 species